CACUGAGCUAAAUCCCUGGUCCUCCAGAUAUUUUUAAGGACAUUAAAGCCUGUUUGGGUCCUGGAGAGGACAGUGUCAGGGGGCCCCUUUACUUGUGUCAUUUGUGAGGCUUUUACAAACCUACCCCUUUAAAAAUAUUGUUACAGGCUUGACCAUCCAAAACAUGAUUUGGGGACCUACUUCACCUCACACUUCCCAAUUCUCCCCCACAAAAAGUAUCUGAGAGCCUCCAUGAUUUAGCCAUGAUGGCUCUAUUAGGGCCCAUACAAGAGAGAGCCUUACGGGAAUUAUAUGUUUUUGAGAAAGGAUGGCACCAAUGUUACUUGGGAUAUAAGAGAAAGUAUUUCAGUCCCAGACCUCCCAGGAGUAGAGGAAAUUUACUCUGUUAAAGGCUUUGGUAGAACUAACCCAUGUAGCAGGCAGGGCUCGGUUUCCUGGGCCCAGAUCCCAGGCUGCAAGGUAGGAGACACCCUGCCUGACACAGGUUGGGGGGUGCUUUCAUUAGGAAUGCCUGUCAAAGGGCUGCCUUGGUUGGCCACUUGGGAGAUGAGUCUUGGUUUAAAAAAAUGUAGUCUUCCUCUCUGUUUCCUGUCCUUCCUCUCCUGCAUGGGAGUCGGGUCCUCAGCCAUUCUGCUGCAUUCUCCUCUGGAAUGUCUCUUCAAACUUGGAAAGGAAGCAAAAAAAACUUGGAAAGAUUUAGAUUCCCAAUUGCUUCAGUAACAGGCUCUUUUAUUAUAGUGAGGCUCUGGUACAAUAUGCUUUGGGGGGCUUUCGGGGCUCCCUAAAUUUUUUUUUGGUACUGGGGAUCAAACUUGGGACCUUGCGCUUGUGAGGCAGGCAGCGGAACCGCUGAGCUACAUCCCCAGCCCCCUAAAUUGUAACAGCAUUCCUCAGUGGGAUCUUUCUGUGAGGGAGAGGGAAAGUGAAAUGAAGUGCCGUAUGUCCACCUUUUUUUCAGCCUUUGGGACUAUCUCAGUGUUCCCUUGAGCCCUCUCUUGACUGCUGGAAACCAGGAUUCAUACAGGGCCAGGGGCUAAGAAGGACAAGAGGGGCGCUUCAGGGAGGGGAAGUGGCAGAGUACUGCCGCUGGGAAGCAAUAUGAGGGAGAAACCAAGACAGGUCCCUUUUACUUACACUCGAGAAAAACCAGUUACGACUGGGGAGCUCUCACAGAUGACCCAGAUGAAUAUGUAAGAGCUUUGGGAAGGGAGCUUCUCUGUUUAGGUUAACCUAUUUCUCUUCAGUGAAAUGCUUAAUCAGGGAGAAAGAAAAAAAGACUUUCAGAGGUGACAGUUAUAGCUAACAAAGUGUCAGCCCCCACAGGGGAUGAGGUUUGUCCCUCAUCCAAACCUCAAUGGCUCUAUGAAAUGCCUCCUGAAAAAAAGGCCCGCUUGCCCUUCUACUACUUCAAGGAGAGAAUAGGAAAACAGGAGUUAAGCCCUUUCCCUAUGCAAAAUUAGGACAGGUUUGUCAGAAAGAAAGGAAGCCCUCCCCUCAGUGUUCUUACAACAAAGGGGUGCCGUGGUCGACACGCAUAUCUGAAAGUGCACCAAAUGAAUGCAAAUCUUGUAUGCUCGUCUGCCUGUCUCUCCAAUGUAUGCUAGUAACAGGUUACAACACCUGUGGCUACUGUGUUUAAAGAUCGAACUCAGAUCCUUGCACUUGUGAGGCAGGUGGCGGAACCACUGAGCUAAAUCCCUGGCCUUGUAGGCGUUUCUUUAACAUAUGUGAAGUUGUCUAUGUCACGUCUAGAGUUGAUCAUUUUUACAUCCAUGUUUCUUCUUUCUUUUUUUUGGUACUGGGGAUUGAACUCGGGUCCUUCUGCUUGCGAGGCAGGCGGCGGAACCACUGAGCUAAAUCCCUGGCACAUCUGUGUUUCAUUAACAUAUGUGAAGUUGUUUGUCUAUAUCACUCUAUGCAACAGAUGGUAUAAUGUUUACCGUCUCUAAUCCAGUAGUUUAUAGUUGAUACAUAGUUAAAUGACAGACUUUUGCGGUUUUUUCUGCUACUGAUGUAUACCAUUCUAUACUAUUGUAUUCUAGUAAUUUGUUCUUUAACUUCUCUAGCAUGUAACAUUGUGUAUGAAUGAAGACAGUUGUAUAUGUUCCAUCUAACAAGGAUUUAGUUUUUCUUUCUUUGUGUUUUUUCUGCC
ensembl:lncRNA